rnacentral:rRNA from 1 species
CCUACGGGAGGCAGCAGUGAGGAAUAUUGGUCAAUGGGCGCUAGCCUGAACCAGCCACGUAGCUUGACUGAUGACUGCCCUCUUGGUUUUAAACUUCUUUUAUAUGGGAGUAAAGUGCAGUAUGUAUACUGCUUUGCAUGUACCUUAUGAAUCAGGAUAGGCUAACUCCGUGCCAGCAGCCGCGGUAAUACGGAGGAUCCGAGCGUUAUCCGGAUUUAUUGGGUUUAAAGGGAGCGGAGGCGGGUCGUUAAGUCAGUUGUGAAAGGUUGCGGCUCAACCGUAAAAUUGCAGUUGAUACUGGCAUCCUUGAGUGCAGUAGAGGUAGGCGGAAUUCGUGGUGUAGCGGUGAAAUGCUUAGAUAUCACGAAGAACUCCGAUUGCGAAGGCAGCCUGCUGGACUGUAACUGACGCUGAUGCUCGAAAGUGUGGGUAUCAAACAGGAUUAGAUACCCUGGUAGUC